rnacentral:lncRNA from 1 species
AAUGGAAUAUAAUCAAAUCUAAACCCAGACAAUUGUGACAGAGAAGAUUAAAUAAUUUAAUAUUUAACUGUCUAUAUAUAUAAGGUACCAUUGUAUGGAAAAGGGUAAACUUAGUUCAUGAUCUGUCAGAUCAGAAAUUAUGGCAGGAAUUGCAGACGCUAAGUCUGGACAAAAUUUAAGAAACCCUUUGAAAUUUUAAAUUAUGGCGCUAUAAAGAUAACGCAAAAU